rnacentral:rRNA from 1 species
UACAGAGGUCCCGAGCGUUGUUCGGAUUCACUGGGCGUAAAGGGUGCGUAGGUGGCAUGGAAAGUUUGAUGUGAAAGCUCAGGGCUUAACCCUGAAAUGGCAUUGAAUACUGCUGUGCUGGAGGUUUGGAGGGGGGACUGGAAUUCUUGGUGUAGCAGUGAAAUGCGUAGAUAUCUGGAGGAACACCGGUGGCGAAGGCGGCAUCCUGGACCGAUAUUGACGCUGAUGCGCGAAAGCCAGGGGAGCAAACGGG